CGAGGGUGCAAGCGUUAAUCGGAAUUACUGGGCGUAAAGCGAGUGUAGGCGGCUUCGUAAGUCGGAUGUGAAAGCCCUGGGCUUAACCUGGGAAUGGCAUUCGAUACUGCGCGGCUAGAGUCUGAUAGAGGGAAGUGGAAUUCCAGGUGUAGCGGUGAAAUGCGUAGAGAUCUGGAGGAACACCAGUGGCGAAGGCGGCUUCCUGGAUCAAGACUGACGCUGAGGCUCGAAAGCGUGGGGAGCAAACAGGAUUAGAUACCCGAGUAGUCC
rnacentral:rRNA from 1 species